GCCUGGAUAGCUAAACUGGUUAGAGUGUGGUGCUGGUAAUGCCAAGGUUGCUGGUUUGAUCCCUGUAUGGGACC